GCAAUAGCAAGUCUCGGCGCUUGGAGUACCUCACAUGUGAGGUGCAAAAGAUUUUACCUUCAGUUUUUGCUGCACGUGUGUGUGUUUUACUUGUUUUGAAACUGAGUAGCUCAGUUGAGCAAUAUAGAGCAUGAAAAAGUGUUUUAGAAAUCCCUCGACAAUUGAGUUAGCUAGACGUGUGGUUGGAAAAAAUAAAAACAGGGGACGGAACGCCGAAGGAAACCAAAAACAAAAAAAAGGCGUAACAAAUACAGAGCACAAAAAUCUAACGUAUUUGUCAAUGUUCUGGCCCCAGAAGUCGCAACACAGGAAGAAGCAAUCGGCGACGGCGAUCCCUUGAUUCUGGAUGUAAUGCCAUCCACGUCUGGAGAUGUUACAUCUCAUAAAACAGACGUGGUAGCAGAUGCAUAUGGCAACGAUGAAGAUAUGUUCGCUAGAACUCCACUUAACAGACGUGUAACUGCACGCAUGAUUACCAGUCAGCCACUGAAAAAGAAAAAAAAAUCAUAUUAGAAUGCAGGAUGUUUGGCAUUAUUUUUAUUUAUAUUAUUUUUAUCUCAUGUAUUAAUGCCAUUCAAUGAAUCUAAUAAAAUAAAAAAUGUAAUUAAAAAUA